GACGAACGCUGGCGGCGUGGAUUAGGCAUGCAAGUCGAACGGUAUCAUCCUUUCGGGGGUGAGAGAGUGGCGAACUGGUGAGUAACACGUAGGUUAUCUACCCUCAAGACGGGGACAACCCAGGGAAACUUGGGCUAAUACCGGAUGUGAGCAACUUUUAGUUGUUUGAAAGGUGGCGUAAGCUGUCGCUUGGGGAUGAGCCUGCGUCCUAUUAGUUAGUUGGUGAGGUAACGGCUCACCUAGGCAAUGAUAGGUAGGCGGCCUUAACGGGUGGUCGCCCACACUGGGAUUGAGAUACGGCCCAGACUCCUACGGGAGGCAGCAGUCGAGAAUAGUCUACAAUGGUCGGAAGACUGAUAGUGCGACGCCGCGUGAACGAUGAAUCCCUUCGGGGUGUAAAAGUUCUUUUAUAUGUGAGCAGUGCUUCUUAUAUUAACAGUAUGGGGAGAGAGAUAUUAGCAUAUGAAUAAGCAACGGCUAAACUCCGUGCCAGCAGCCGCGGUAAA
rnacentral:rRNA from 1 species